rnacentral:tRNA from 1 species
GUUCAUAUAAUAUAAAACAUUAUAAUUGACUUCCAAUCAAUAAAUCUAAAACCCUAGUAUGAACA